ensembl:lncRNA
AGUUUAUUCCUGCUGGGGAACGCUUAUAUCAACCUCUGAACUUCCUUGUUUCUGGACUGAGAAAAAUGGGUGCACUGUUUCUUCUCAUAAACAAGUUGUUCCCAUGUUCUGUGGGAAUGUUUAUAUCAAAGAACACUCCAUGUGCAGGUGGUGAUCUGAAAGAGUAAAAUACUUCCCAUUGCACCAUAACUGACCUUUCACAUGUUAGCUACACCCAGCUUCAAGCUGGGAGUUCUGUAUCUUCAGUUGAAUGAUAUUUCUAGCAGUCUGAAGAGGGAACCUCAGCAUUUGAAAAAAAAAUCUACCUCAUCACUGGUCUGCUCCAACACUGGCAAUCUUAAACACUCAGAAGUAGAAGAAUGUACUCUCUUGUGAAUCACUGGCCAUGGGACCUCACUCCUUAGAGACAUCUGUCCACUGAGACCUCACUUUACUGUUGCAGUGACUAAGUAGGAAAUAGGAACCUCAAGGUGAGCACACUAAGCAUAUGUUUCCCCCAGGGAAAUCAUCAGAAUGUAAUCAUCAGAAUGGCUGAGAUCUGAGUCUCUGAACCAUUAGCUAAAAUAGUUUACUCAAGAGAAAAAAUAAUUUUCUUAAAAAUCUUUUCCCAUCCUCUCACACAUUUUUUUUUUUUCCUGUUGUAGUUAGAGGGCACUGUUUUCCUUCUAAGCUUUUUAGGCUUCUAGUAGAUUACGUUAUAAAGGUAAUGUAGCUAUGCUGCAUGGUAGAACAGGAUUGAUUGGCAUGAAACAUAAACC